rnacentral:lncRNA from 1 species
AGGAGCUUUGUGUUGGUGGAGGGAUUUUUUUGUGGUCGGCUUGGUGGUGUUUGAAGUUGCGAAGAAAAAGAAGAAGAAGGGUGUGGUUGUAUUGUUGGAGAAAUGGAGAGUGAAAGGCCUUUUGAUCAUGAAGAAGAAGAUCAAAAUUUGUUUAUGUUUUUUUUUUCUUUGUAAUUAUUUUUUCCUUUUUUUUAUUUGAGGAUUGGUAAAGAGAGGAUUAUUAUUAGAUGAGUAGCGAC